UGCGCAAACUUCGCCGCGACAGCGCCAUGUGUGGCCGGCUCUUGCCGGCGGCGCCGCAAUGUAUUACUUCCACGGACUUGGCACAACCGGCAGUGUUUCAGCCCCUCGUCAACUGGCUUGCUGCCGCGUGCAAACCUUCCGGAACUUACGACCGCCGCGAAGCAACUGUGGCUACGAGCGGCGUACAGAUGUGGGCAAGUGGAGAGAGGACAGCAGCAAGAAGGGGAGAUUGGGGUUAGUAUGCGUCCUGGGCCGGCUUCAGGGGAACUCUGUGGGAAAAACGAACCAGCACAAGCGGUGGGAAGGUUCCAACCCGCCACCUCCCAGUCCACAGCACGACCUUGCAGCGUCGAUAGCACAAGACGAUGAGUGGUUGCUUUUAGUUAGUCGGCCAUGCCCUUGCACCCUUCCACGAAGCUGUUGGCAUCCUGGGCUGGGUUCGAACCCGAAACCCUGGAUUCAGUAGGCGGCAACGUUACCGCUUCGACCUUCAUCAACAGAGACCGGUAAUUGAGAAAUGAAAAAAAAAUACAGGAAGGACAGAAGUGCAUACUGAAAAGCAGAAAAAAUAAUCAGAGUCUAAAACACUGGGUAACACACAUACGAGAGCAAAUAUGAACAUUCGGAGCGA